GGAGGUCAUGAUGGAGAGAUGCGGAGAGAAAGAAGCGGGGGAGAGGAGGAAGGGAGAAAGGAGAGGAGCAUCUGAGAGUGUAACUGCCUGUUUGCUCACUCUUGUCUUCUUGCUCCCCCUCCUGUCCUUUCACUUCCACUCACAGUACAAACACUCAGACAACUAGGUAGGCACAGCGCAGAGCUGUGAGGGAUGGAGAGCAGGGUUCCCACGUGAAAGAAAGGCUUGAAUCCACGGGAGAAGAGGAGGGUGAGAUAAAAGACAACCUGAUAAAGGGGGUGAAGAGGAGAGUUGAGGAGCAGGUGGACCAAAGGAAAGGAUGCAACGUGAAGCUCACCAUGCAGCGGUGACAGAGAGGAGCUAGCACCAUCUUCAGCCAUGGGAGAAUGACACUUUGACUCCACAACUAAAAUAAAAGAAAGUGAAAUCAACGAAACAGACAAAGCAGUCUUGACGACAUAAGUUUCAAAAGGCAGCUCGUUAUGGGAAGACCCUCCGAAGACCAUCCCAUACAUAGGCUACUGGGGACAAAACAUGAGUACAAGAACGGACUGCCAAGUAUGCAAACCUAAGGAUGAACAGGCUAUAUUCCCUGACUCUCUGCCCAUUGGCAUUGCAAGCCUUUUUGGCCUCAUCAUGAUAUUUGCAAGGGGAAAUUAGGAGAAAUGGGAGUAAAGGAAAAUGUGCACAUAUUUAAAGGACAUAUAAAAGCAUGGACAUGUUCACUUUAACAAAAUUUGAUGCUGCUUUUCUCUAAUUUAUCUUAAUAUGUCAUAUUUUUGUAGAAGUGAAGGUAAAAUAUCACAGUUGCUGUAGAACUUAGCAUUGGUCACAGUGAUCUGACACACCCUUUUUACUGUCUAUGAUGUUGGUUUACCUUUACCUGUGGACAUUGUAGUAAUUCUUCUUAAGGACAAUUAUUCUACAAAUGGACUAAGCUUUGCAGGAGUUGACCGAACUUUGUUCGGUUUUAUGAGGAAAAUGGGACUCAUCAAUAAAGUACAUAGCUCUCACAUGCAUUUAAUACUAUAGCAAAACAGUAAUGAAAAACGUACUUUCCUUGUUGACACAUGAACAAAAAGGCCUUUAAAACGGCAAACUGCCUGUGAAUGUUGGGGAAGAAACAGAGUGGCCAGAGAAAUGGUGAGCAAGGAGCCUAAUCACUUGCUCACAGGCCAAAGCAACGGCAAGAGCACCUUGGCGGACAAACUGCCUGGAACAAUGACUGUACGCUCUGUGCUGCUUAAUCGAGACUCACCAGAUAUUGAAAGUCGCCUCAAGCGCCGUCGCAACCGCACCCAUCAGGUUCGCUUCAAAGACCUUGAGGAUGGCAGUAGCAGUAGUGGCAACAGUGCAACAGGGGAAAAUAACACUCGUCAACGGACUGCCAAGGACCGUGACAGCCCACAUCCUCUCCGGAAACACAACACCAUGUCCCCUCAGCCAUGGACAGAUAGACCACACACUGAGGGCCUACUUGGUCAAACCUCUGUGGUGGGGGCUGUGCGUGGGGAUAUGGCAAGUACAAUAGAAAAGGUGGCUGCUUUUUUAGCACGAGCCCCACCUCAUCCACUAACACCUGGUCCUACACGCAGAUGUUGGGUGCCACCACAGUCUAACUCUCUAACUUUACCAAUGACACGAAGACCCAGUACAAGCACCAGCACAGCCAUUCAGACUUCACCAUGCCUCAUAAAACCUCAGUCUCUCUCAUCCACCCAUGCACGUAGCCAAAGCACUGGGGACUCAGUUGGUGUGGAUGGAGAUGAUGAGCAUGACUCUCAAGAUGAGUACCUUAGCCACAACCAUGUGCUGCUUGGGUCCAAAGAUCAGAGUAGACCUCUGAGCUGUGGGGAUAAAACUGUGGUAGAACGAAGAUCUAAAGUAUCAAAGACAGAAAUUAAGUCAGGUGUUAUGGUAAAACCAUCCAGACACAGCUGUCCACCUUCAGUUCUUCACAAUAGUGAUCUGUGUCACAGUUCUUCAGUAUCUUGCCGAGAUGGUCCCAAGCGCCAGGGAAGUAGCACUCCUUCAGUAGUAAGGAGGAGAAAGCGCCUAAGCCGGACAACAAGUGAUCCUGGAAAAGAAGUGCACUUCUGCACAACUCCCACACAAACUGAAAGCCCCCCUCGAUCGCCUCCUCCUACAAAUACCAAACUGUGUACAACUGAAGUUCAAACUGAGGGUCCAUCUUCACCUCCAGCUUCAAAGCAUUGCACCACCCAAAGUCAAAAUGAACGUAAACAUCAGUCUCUAAAUUUGAGUGACGAACACUGCUCAACACAAAUUCAAACCACUAAUUCUUGUCAAACCCUACCUCAAAAUGUUGAGCAGUGUACCCCUCAAAAACAAGCAAACUCUCCAUGUCCAUCUUCCCCAAAUCAUAAACCUUGCACUACACAAUUGCCAACUUGUAGCUCUGUUGCCUCUCCACCUUUAGUUGCAUCACCCAGCUUACAUUCUGACAUACAAGUGUCUGCUUCUGCAGCUGAAAACCCUCCCACCACCAAAAUUUCUACUGUGCCUUACUGUACUUCUCCUCCAACACUGGCAAAUGCACCACUACAAAUCACUGAAAAAGGCUAUAAGGCAGCUUCUUCAUCUCCUACUAAGCCAGAAAGUGUCACUAAUCCUCCACCAAACAUCCUACCUUUUUCCUCCACUCCUGCACCUUCUGCUGCCCAAAGCCCUAUUCCUUAUUAUACUGUUUUGUCUCCACCAACACCACCCAGCAAAACUGCUGCUUGCUCUAGUCCUUCCUUUACUGCCCCUCAGUCCUCAUCAUAUAACUGCAUAUCCCCAGUAUCAAUAUCAUCCUCUUCCUUAACCUGUUCCACCCCUACUCCAAAUGUAAGCACCAUUUUAACAUCUUGUGAACCUAACAAACAGCCCAAUGCUGUCCCAAAUGUAAGACAUCAACAACCACCAUCAGGUCCAACAAAUAAUGUAUCACUCACAAACCUCACACCCUGUACAAUUGUGACUCAGACUGCCCUGUCUUGCACAUCCAUAUCAUAUUACACCAGUACUCAUCCAGGUGGACCCCACACACCCCAGAUUAAUCAAACAUCACCUUCUUACACCACUGUUAUACAAACAGUAUCUCAUUGUAACAUACCGUACCAAACAGUGCAAAACAACCCCCCUGCCAGCACUGGGAUAACCCUUUAUCCCUCCCCUGUCCCUAGACUUGAAUCGUGCACUUCUCCACCUCCAAUUGUGAAAGCAUAUGUGUCCACUCUUCAGAAUGCUCAAGCUUGUGGGACUCCAACUAAAGCUGUUCCUUUGUACUCUUCAAAAUUUCGUGCUGCACCACCAUACACUCCCCCUUCUCAAGCCCCCUAUAAUGCUCAGGAUAAGAGGGGCAUUCGACUUCCACCUCCUCCUCCACCACCUCCUCCCUACACACCACGGAAAAAAGGAAGUGAACCUGCAGUUGCCACAGCCCUAACACCCAUGCUUAGGACAGAGAGCAAGGCCAAUGAAAAAGGUAUGGAGAGGGAAGAGAAAAAGGAGGAUACAAUGGAUAUGAAGUGUACAGACUCACCCAAGUUCUGUGGGAGACCCAGUUCUCUGAAGCACAGAGCUCAAACUCCGCCAGUUGCUGUGAUGAAGGGAGAGAGGCGCUCCUCUACCUCCUCCCCUGCCAAGGCCUGUUUUAAGCCCAGCUGUCUUAGCUCAGCCCAGGCUCAGCUUGGGGUGCUACACAAAAUGCUCUGCUCAGGAGCCAGCGUCAGGCCCAACACACCAAACAGCCAACACUCGCUGCCACCUAACCAGCAGGGCUGCUCUGGUGCCAGGGGCUGCUCUGCCUCUGGGGGUCAGCCUGCAACUGGGCCGCUGAGUCCCACAAAAGCUGACACUUUAAGACAGGUUCAGGAAAUUCUUGGAGGGUUGAUGUCUGGGGCCAGGUGUAAACUGGACCCAUCACGGGUGACGGAAAAGCUCCUGAGUCCCAAUGGACCCCUGCAUGAUAUUCGUAGCUUGCAGAACCAGCUUCACAGUUUGGAGGGCGUCCUGGAGACAAGCCAGAAUACGAUUAAGGUCCUGCUGGAUGUCAUUCAAGACCUUGAGAAAAAGGAAGCAGAGAGAGAUGGGAAGAAGACUGGCGUACUCUGAGAUCCUUGUGCCAGAAAUGCUGCUCAGUGAGGUAACUUGACGUAUCAGAAGGGUUACACAAAUAAAUAUGCAGCAACACAUGCCCCUGUUACCCCUGAUAUGUCAUCUGUGUGCUUUUCAACAGAAGACAUUCCUACAGAACGGGGCAGGACAUUGAGAACUGUGGGACCUGCAGAGACUGCGCCUGCAUCAUCUACAGUGUGGAGCACGAUUUCCGUCUGCAAGAAGGGCAGGUGGUACGAACUUGGAAGGUGGGUGACCCUCCAGAGGGCUCACCACAGACUCCCACCUCCCAGGCCACAACACCUCAACAGCAAGACUCUCCACAACUAAUGCGACCCCCUGCCUCCACCAAGAAGAACCGGAAGAAGUGCUUUUGGUUCCUCUGAGCGUCAGGGGAUGGGGGAAAAAAAAAAAAAAAAAAGACAUUUUGUUACUGUAAUGCACUGCACACGCUUCUUUACAAAAAAUAAAUAAAUAAAAAAUUUGGGGAGGGGUUAAAAAACUGUGAAACUACCAGGAGGAUUAAGAUGCAAACAAAUCACUAUGAGGGAGAAACAGUUUUUAAUCUGUUUCUGUUAGACAUGAUGGAAAUGAUUUCACUAGACUGCACAUGUUGUUUUUUUAAUGCAUCUUCAGCACUUACAAAUUUGAUCCAGGUGCAGGAUGGGAAAAAAUGCUGAACUCAAGGAAAUGCAAAAGUUUAGUCUGCCAUAUAACUCAUUGUCAGGAAGCUAUUAGGAGACAUAAAGAGAAUAUAUACUAUCCAGGUAUGGGGAGAAAGGGGCAAUACAGCAGAUAAGAGAGCAUAUUUAUUAAAGAUUAAAUUAGUAGAAUUUAUGGGGAAGGGGAGAAAGAGACUGAUAUUUUUCUUUUAUGGACUAAUGAGGGUCAGCACACCAGCUUUUAUAUCAAGUGACAUUUAAAAAAAAUUAUUAUGACCCGAUUUAAAACUUUCAUUAUACUGUAACUGAUGAAAUAUUACAUGUGUCUACAUGUGCAUACAAAAAAAAAUCCCACAUACUUACAAAGAAAGUAUAUGUGAAUUGAUAAAAAUGGUGAAUUGAGUUCUGUAUGUAUCAGAGCUGCUUGGAUGCUUUAUUUCAGAUAUGGAUUAAUGCUCUAUAAAAGUAUUUUACCACA